rfam:Methylocaldum sp. 175 genome assembly, contig: JC06DRAFT_unitig_0_quiver.5
AGUGCUGACGGGCGGUGCGUGGGCACGCGCAAGCGUGGCCGGUGCCAUCAUGCCGGUUUUCGACCCCACGCAUCGUCCGUCGCCUAU